CGGUGUACAGUAACUAUGGGGCGAAAUUUCUACAUACUAAAGGUUUUGUAUGCCCUAAACCUGACAUGAUGCUUGCUCCAAUAUGCCAUCUCUACCUGGAUGAUACAAUAAAUGAUGUGCUUGUGAGUAUAAUAAAUUGCCUACUCAUCAGGCCAGUGUAAGGUAGGUUGGAUUGUAGGCUGAGAAGUACCAAACCGAGGAAGACCAGAGUUGGGCAAGGCUAAAGAUUGAGGAAUACCAUGAGGAUGUAGCAUAUAAGAAUGCAUCCGAGCCAUCUGCCCAGGAGGAACAAAACCAUUAGUCCUAAUAGUGAUGGAACAAUAGGUACAACAUUAGCAUUAUUUCCCUCAAGAAAUAUAACCAAAGUGCGCUUGGGAACUAUUCAUAAGGAAUAAAAUAGAACAAUCAACACAACCAAUAUGAUAAUCUAAGCAUAAAAGGACCAUAUAUAUGAGUUGCAUUCCUCUAUGUAACACUACAAACUCAAAAUGCAGCAAACAAUCUGAUGAUCAUAAUAGCAUAUGUGCAAUUUAAGGCUUUCACUCGUUUGAACAAAUGAGACAUCAAACAAGUAUACAGAAUUUAUUUCUCUAUCCAGCAACUCAGCCCAGCCUGCACACAUAUGGGAUAAAUCAAAAGAAUCACAUAUUCAUGUUUCUCAAUACAGCAAGGCAGCAACUAGGCAAGUAAUCCCAAAUUCCAAAGUACCAACAAAUAUUUAUGAGCAGAAAACAGAACGCUACAUCAGUGCAACCAUUACCAAUAUUGGAUUGCAUAUCAAAACGAAUGAUAGCCACAUGGGCAACAAAAAAAUUCAGUUUCAUAAGUUUGUGGACAUUGUCAAGAGGACAGUUCAGUUCAUGGUGCCAAGAACAAGAAUGGUGGGAGGGGUCAAAACAUUAAACGUUCAGGAAGAUCAUCAUCCUUCGUUGCCAUGUUAGUCUGCAUUACGCAAGAUGAUUGUUACUCCCUCCGUCCCAAAAUAUACAAUAUUUUUCCUCCGAGCGUAACGAAAUUUUUGACGUUUCCACUUUUGCCCUGGCGACCGAUUCCACUCCUCUCGUCUCGGGACUCCCACUCCUCUCGCGUUCCUCUCUCCGACAGCCCCAAAUCCCUAGCUCACCCACUCCUCCCUAGUGUCGUUGCUGCCGCCUCCCACUCGCCGGCAUCGUUGAGCCUCCCUCUAGCCGGUGUCUCCUCUCCCAUUCCCCUCGCUCACCUACUCCCCUCCAAAGAUGGCGUCGUCCCCUCUGCCCGUCUGGUGUCCUCGCCUAUCUUCCAAAGAUUGCUUUUUUUUACUCCAACGCAUCUGAAGCGGUGAUGGGUACUUGUGCGGAGGCGGCGGAGGCAGCGGCGGCGCUGUAUCUAAAGAGGGCACCAUAGCAGCAAUGGCAGCAUUGGAUCUGAAGCGGUUGACGGCACCGUUGCGGCGGGAGGAGCAAUUAUGGCGAGCACUACCACGACGGUGAGUCCUUGUGUUUGUACUCUGUACUGAUGCUGCUACUUAAGUGAUGCUGCGACAGAGUGGUUCUGCUCCGAUGAUGCUACUGUAUUUCUGCUCUAGUGAUGGUGUUGUAGUAGUAGUUCUGCUCUAGUGAUGUUGCUGCUUUAGAUCUUGUGAAGUUAUGAUGGAGCUCAAGUCUAGUAAAGUUCUUGUGAUGGAGUAAACAUCACUGAAUUUUGCUUGCAGUGUUGUUCACUGAAUUUUCCUUGCAGUUUUGUUCACUGAAUUUUGCAUGUGAACUUUUGGCUGCUCCUUGUGAUGUUUACUAAAUUUUACUCCAUUAACAUAUGCUUGUAGUGAUGUGCAGGUAGUAAAGUUUUACUGAGCUCACUAAAGCUUGUGCUUGUGCUUCAGAUCUGCUUUUUUGCUUGUGAGGAACAAAGGGAACAAAAGGAGUACUGCUCUAGUGAUGCUCUACUGACUUGCUGUACAUUUGUGGGAAUAACUUGAUUUCUUCUUGUACAUUUUCAGUUAAAAGAUGUUUGGUGUAUGCUUGCUUGUUGUACAUGAUGGAGGAUUAUUGGAGUAAUUUGAGUAAGCAUUUUUUCUGUUUGCGUUGUUGCAGUCCAAGACGAUUGAUCGAUGCAGCUGCUACCUGCUGCUGCUGUAUGCACCAUGUCUGAAGAAGACCCCUCUGUGGACCGAACUCUCUGGAGUACUGUAAGCAUGCACACUCUGUUAUGAAUGGAAUGAAAUUGUUUAUGUGAAGUGUUAUUUUUCUUGCUCCUGUAGUAGUAGUUCUUCAUUUGAAGUGUGAGUUGUACUCCUACUUGUUCAUGUGAUUGUUUUGCUUGUUCAUAUGGAAUGGAAUUUGUUCUUCAUGGAGUACAACAGGAGUGGUAGUCUCAAGUCAAAUUGGUUGUUCAUGUGUUGCUGUUGAUGCAACUGUUGUUCUCCAACUGGAGUAGUUUUAACUUCUGGUAGAGUAGUUAAAACAUGAUGUAGUAAAUUGUAAAACUUCAGUUAGAGUAGUUAAAACAUGUUGUACUACUUGUAGUAGCAGUGGUGGUCAUCUAGUUAAAAAAAUUGUACUUGGAGUAGCAGUGGUGGUCAUCUAGUUAAAACGUGUUGUUUGUUGUACUUGGAGUAUUAGAUGGAGUAUAAUGCUCUAUAGGAUUUCUUUUCUUUUAGGAUUCCUUUUUCUUUUACUCCUCUCCUCUCUCUUCUCUCCUCUCUACUCCUUUCUUCUCUGGACUUGUUGUACUAUUAGGAUUUCUUUUACUUUAGGGUUUCUCUCCUCUGUCUUCUCUCCUCUCCUCUCUCUUCUCUCCACACAAAGUUCCUAAGGAUUACUCAUAGGAAUAUAUAAUUUCAUUCUCUCCUCCCCUCUCCUCUCUCUUGUCUCCUCUUCUCUUCUUCCCUUGUCUCCUCUCCACACAACUUUGAAAAAUUCACAAAGUUCUUGUUUACUCCACACACAAAAUUCAGAAACAAUUUUAAGAAAUCCACAAUGAUGCCUACAAGAAAUCCACAAUGAUGCAUACAAACAUAUGGAUCACAUAACAAGUCUCUCAUCAAGCCUCUCAUCAGAAGGAGUACAAACAUAUGGAUCACAUCACAAGCAUCUCAUCACAAGGAGUACAAACAUAUGGAUCACAUCACAAGCAUCUCAUCAUCCAGCCUCUCAUCACAAGCAUCUCACCAUCCAGCCUCUCAUCACAAGCCUCAGUGUUCAUCUUGUUCUAGAUUCUCUAAGGCAUUGUAGUACACUUCACAUGGGAAAUGGAUCCUAGGAAGUAGAAUUCCAUCUCUUUCAAAUCUUUGUUUGGUGACGUGUGGAAUUUUGUAAGCAUUUCCUCCUGCAUGAUUCAUGACUUCAACCAUACAUGUUUGGAGUGUUAGGAAGAUUCUGUUGAGUUUUCCAACUUCAUAGUCAUCGAAUUCUUCUUCUACACCUUGAGUUAGUUCGGGGAUGGUGGUAGGGGCUCUGCAGUCCGUUAGAGACUCUAGGGAUUUGAAGUACCCAAGGUCAAGAGCGUUCAAGUCAGGAGAAUUUGGGGGUUGUUGCACUAGUUUGAUGUCCAUACCGGUCUCAGCCAUUGCUUCUGCAAACUCAACAUCAUUAGGUAAAAUAUGUGUCCUUGCAUUGUCCUGUUGGAUGAGGACUGUUUGUCCAACAUCUCCAAAGGGCCACACAUCUUUUAUUGCAGGAACAACUUUCUCAAUCAUGUAUCAUCUCAUGACUUCUCUGUUCACCAUGAGUGACUUGAAUUCUAUGACACCUCGUUCUUUAUUUUCACUCCUUCUUUAUGUCACAACUGUUGUGACGAAAGGCCAAACCCCAAUCUUUCCUGAGAAUGUGACAUUCCCGUCAGCGUCGUAUCUGGGCCUUGCAACUGCUGUGAGAAACAUCACCUUUCCAAUCUUGUUUGGAACUGGCCUUACUGGGUCUUCUUCAUCUGGCAUUAGGUAGUAGUUUAUGUUCCUUUUUGUCAUGAGAAACCAUUUCUCAUCAAUAUGCACAAUAUUAUGCAUAGUGUUGAAGCAAAUUCUUUCAUUCUGCAGGGUUGUCUGGUCCAGCAUCGACAUGCAAAAUCGAACCCUUUCUCUCUUAUUCUUCUCUUUCAAAGGCGGCUUCACCCUGUUGGAGUGCCUCCUUAUCAUUAAGCUGGAAUUUCCUGUGGAGUGUGGAGCGGCUGACACCCAAUGCAGCAGCAAGUGAUCAUAUGCUUGACCUUCUGUGUAGUGGAACUGCUGAGAUUUGUGAUAGAAAGCCAUCAACCACUUUUGUGCCGCAUCUUUCUGGUUGACACAUCCACCUGUUGACCAAGAGCAAUCUGUUUCUUUGCUAUCUUCCAAAUUCUUUUAAUGAGUUGGAUGUCUACUUGAAACAAUGCAGCCACGUCCUGCUUAUCGUUCCCUUUCAAAUCUCCACCUCUCUUAAUACUUAGCGCUUGCAUUGCCAUAUAAGCAGCAUAUCUCUUCUCAUUUGUUAGUGAUUUUCUCUUCCUCCGUAUUUGUUGAACACCUACAGUAGCAAUGCAACAAGAAAAUUAGAGAAAUUGUGCACUUGGAGAACAUGGAUGAAUAUAAAUUCAGUAAAAUCCACUUGGCUGAAUUUGAAUGCACUUAAGCGCAUAUAUAUCUUCAGUUAAGUGCAUUCAAAUUCAGUUAAGUCCAUUUAAAUCCACUUGACCAAAUUUGAAUGCACUUAAGCACAUAUAUAUUCAGUUAAGUGGAUUCUAAACUUAUUGCAGACUUGUGGUACAUAUAGUGUAAUUAAGUUCAUUUUAAUUCAUUUAAGUAGUAUGUAAAUACAUAUUCAGUUAAGAAUAUGUAUAUUCAAUUUACCUGCUUCUCCCACUGCUUCUCCCAUAGCUUGAUCCUCUUCUUCUCCCACUGCUUCUCCCAUAGCUUGAUCCUCCUCUUCUCCAACAACAUGUUCCUCUUCUCCUCCCACAUCUUCAUCCACAUCUUCUGGUGGAGAAAAGUUUAGGUCAAAGUUCAUGUUCCAAAUUCAGAGUUUGGAGCUGGAGCUGGAGUACAAGAAGCAAACAUAUUAAGAAUUUUGGAAUAAAAGUAAAUUGUUGGAGUACAAGUAAUUGGAGUAUGAACAUUUAAAUGGAGUAAACUUUUGCUUGAUGUCAAUUUAAAUUCAGAAUUGCUACAAAUUGCAGUCAAUUUAAGUGCAUAGGUUUGCAAUCAAUUUACCAUUGGAGUAGGAGUAAAUAUUGGUUUGUCUAGGUUUGUGCUAAGUGGUUGUUUUCUGUAAAUUAACAACAUGAACCAUGUCAAAUUCAGUUAAUUAUUGUACUGCAUUGGUUUCUUUAAUGUUGCGAUUCUUUAAUUCUCUGUUCUUUGAAAUCAUCAGGACUCCUGAUCAAUUAAGAUCAUGCAAUCUGUUUUCUCUGUUUGCUCUACUAUAUUCUCUGUGUAAAGUGAAAUACUAAGUCAUUCUCUGAAUAACGCCACUUGCUGCCACUAUAUUCUCUAUAAUUCUGAUUAAAUCAUCAGCUUGUGAGGUGAGGCACUAAAACUCUUGUGACAACAAGUCACCCAUACUUGAGGUGAGGCACCCAUCAGCUUGUGAUAACAACAAGUCACGCAUCAUAAUUGUGUGUACAUAAGUGUUUGGUGAGAGUGGCUCUACAAAUCAUAACAAGAAGUAUUCCAAGUAGUUCAGCUCAGAUGCAUCAUAAUUGUUCAUAUCAUAAUUGUACUACUGAAAAUUGUUUGGAUCAUUAUUGUUCUGCUGAUAUCUACUGAUUUUUUCCAUUAACACUGAUUUUUCAAUUAACAAUAUUCAGUUAACACUGAUUGUUGUAGCUGCUGUAAUCAGUUUAUUCCAGUUGAUAUGUACCUUGUCCUUGUAAUCACUUGUUAAAACUUGUUGUUAUGUUCAGUUUGAAGUAUAUCUGGCAGCUGUUAUUGAUCUGUACCUUGUCUCUGCAAUCAAUUGUUAAAUCUUGCUUCUGUUGGUCAAUUUGAAGUGAAUCUUACUGCUGUUGUUGAUCUAUACCUUGUCUCACAGUAUUGCAUUUCAAAUUUCUGUUUCCUGGAUUAAAAUUUCAAUUUCCUGCAAACAAUUUAAUCAGUAUUGCAAUUCAAAUUUCAGUUUCACUUCAAAUUUCCUGGAGUAUUGUACUGAUCUCUAUCUUGUUUGUCGGCUUCUCUGUUGAUCUGGAGCCUCGAGAUUCUCUACUUCUCGUUUGAUCUGGAGCUUCUCUGCUUCUCUACUUCCUGCAAUCUUCUCUGAUGCUUCUCUAAUGAUCUUCUUUGUUGAUUUUGUUGCAGCCUGGAUCUUCUGGCCAAGGAGGAGCACAGCGAGUAGCAGCCUGGGCACUGACUAGGAGGCGUUGGGGCCUGGGCGAGCCUGGGAGGAGGCGUUGGGGCCUAGGCGAGGAGGCGCUAGGCGCAGCGAGCCUGGGAGAGGAGCCGAUGGGCGUAGCGAGCUGGAGGCGCUGGGUCGAGGAACUGCUGGUGCUGGGCGAUGGCGACGUGCAGGAGCUGCUGGUGCUGGGCGACGGUGACGUGCAGGAGCUGCUAGGAGAUGCGCCUGGAGCUCGUGGGCGUUGGGCGCUGGGUGCGGCGAGGCGGCAAGCGCUACGCGUGGGGAAGAACCGAGGGCAUGGUGCCAUGGUCUCGUGGGUGCCUAGUGCCAUGGACGCGUGGGUGAUUUUGAAUUUGAAUUUCUGAGAAGGAUUGAGGAAGACGAUCGCGGGGAAGACGAUCGCAGGGGUAGAAACGUCCUUCUGACAGAAAUCGGUGCUGUCGGAAUUUUGAAAAUGCUCCUACAUUUCAGGACGGAGUGAUUGAGUGUUGGGGACACUAUCAUUUGAAGCACAAGAGCAAGGAGUUCAUCAUGAACAACACCAUCUAUUACCUUUUGCAAAGUGGUGUCUCUUAGAUUGGUUAGGUGUCACUUGGGAGCCUCCAAGAUAUUGUGGAGUUGAAUCAAGGAGUUUGUAAGGGCAAGCAGAUCGCCUACUUCAUGAGAAUCUACCCGAGUGAGGCUAGUACUUCGUGGGCGUAAGCCAUGAUGGAAAAGACAAGGUUGAUUCUUCAUGGGUGGAGCCCUCCAUAGACUCGCGCAAAUGUUACCCUCUAUGGGUUGAAGUCGCCAUCAAUGUGGAUUUACGAUAGCACCACCUAUCGGAACCAUGACAAAAAUCAUCGUAUCCUCAUUGUGUUUGAUAUCUCCGAUCUCUCCUUUACAUUCAUAUGCAAAGUCUUUACUUUCCGCUGCUCAACUCUUAGACUUGCAUGUGUAGGGUGUGCUUGACUUGGUAGAAUUGCUAAAGCUUGCCUACCACUAAAAUUGGGAAAAAGAUAAGUUUUUAUUACGUCAAGUAGUCUAAUAACCCCCUCCCCCCUCUAGAUAUACUUUCGAUCCUACACGACCCGCAUAUGCGCCGCUCUGCUGCUAUAUGUAUGGGGCCAGGGGGCUUGUAGGGUUAGCAAACCAGAUCCCCUUCGUCACGAAACGUCUACUCCACCGCUAGGUUUAGAAUACUCCAGCGAGCAAUUAGCCGCAUCUCUCCUCUCCUUUUUCGCCAUCAACGGAAGAUCCAUGGCAAGUGGAUCUAGCUGUGGUGGUCAUGCCAACGCUGGCAGAGGCCGAGGUGGGAACGGGGGCACGACUGACAAGUGACGCCACUAUGACAUCAAGCAAGCAAGCUCGAGCCAUGCCAUCGUGACGCAAUCCAGCUCAAACAAUGAGGACGACAACAGGGGCGCAAGUGGAGGUCGAGGCAGGCUCAGGAGCGCGCCCAGCAAGCAAUGCCACCACGACGCCAAGCAAGCGAGCUCAAGCCGCACCGUCGUGACGCUUUUCAACUCAAGCAAUGACAGCAACAAAGGGUGGCGCCGGUGGAGGUCGAUGUAGGCUCGGGAGCGCGGUUGGCUCUGCCGGUGUGGCGGCCGGGGGUGUAGGGUGGGUUUGAUGUGCGAUGAGCACAUCUUCCCCCACAUCCAGUGGUGCCGCACCAUGGAUGAAGAGCUCCUUGCCGACGAGCGUGUGGUAGCGGCCGACGAAGAAGGGGCUCCCGCCCACCUCGAAGACUCCAAGAACAACAAGAACAAGCACCAGCUCGAAGUGGCACUGUGGAAAUCCGCCAUGAAGUUUUACCUCGGCAUCGUCGAGUGAGUUAUGGUUCAGUUUUUAUUAUUACUAGAUGACCCGUUGCACCAAUGGCGCAAAGGGCGUGAGCAAAUCAGGCUUUCAGACCAUGCAAGAUGGGAUAUUUAUACAACGUUCAUAAAAUCAACCUGUUGCAUCCCUGGAACAAAAAGCGAGAGCGAACUGAGCAUUCAAACCAUGCAAGAGUAGUUUAGAUAUUGAUAAUAGAAUCCUUGAAGCAUAAGGACAUAGAUACUUAGGUAUUUCAUGGUAGCAUGAUAGGCCAAAAAAUUAUUUGGCCAGUUCAUGAUAGCUUAUUUGCAUUGGUUUUAUAUUAGAAAGCAAGCUAUAUAGGUAGUAUCAUACAGAUAGCCCUAGUUUGGUUUCUCAGCUUGUGGUUGAUCUUUGUAGAUCCUGCUUGUAGGCAAAACCAAGACAUGCACUUGUUUCCAUAGGUACAUCGCUGCAUGUUGCAUCUGUAUCGAACAUGACCUUAUUCUCUAACCAACUCUUCAUGGCUAGGUGUUUUCGGUGGGCUGUCGUUGUUGAAAACACAUAUGCUUUCCAUGCACUGAAACUCAUCGUUGAAGCACAAAUCUGUAGAAUGUCCCCUAAAUAUAUAGUUGCACUGUCAAGGUGUUCUACAACCUACUUUACUUGCGAGAAAGUAUGGUUAUCAUUGUCUUCGGGUGUUGAUCAUUCGCUGAGUUGCAAUAAUAUUAAGUGGAAGCCUCAAAUAAUGAAAGAAUACCUUGUUUAACUAAAAGCGUUGCUGAUUGGAGGGGAAACAUUAUGAAGUAUACUUUGUAGUAGUUUGAUAUAAUCUAAUAAAUCAAAUAAAUCUAUAGUCACUUUUGUAGAAGCUUAGAAGUAAUAUAAGAUUACCUGACAUCGGACAAUGAUUGAAAAUUCUUAACUAAUGUACUGUGUUAAAGAGAGAAAAGGCAUGUGCCUACACGAAAGAAUAAAUUAUAGUGGAUAUUUGCUAUAAAUAUUCUAUUACACAAAUGGCAUGCAUAUAGUCACGCCUGAAUAUAGUUUUAACACUAGUGUAGAUGACGAGCACAGCUUGGAUCGCCUGCGGAGAUGAAGCGUUGCCAUUGCAAUCGGCAUCAAGCACCAUAGGGUGUGCAAUCAGCAACAAGCACGCAACAAGUACCAUAGGAAAGUAGUCUGCAAUAUGAAGAGUGAAACUGAGAGUAUGAAAAAAAUACCGACGUUUAGAUGGAUAGGAAUGCAAAAUAAAUGUUGGGUGGACCAUUUUUCUUAUCAAGGACAAUCACAUGGGACUUACUACUGCGCUUUCUUGUUUCCUCCAGCUGCUUUCCCACCACUAUUGUUCCUUAAGUUCCAGACACCCAUGUUUAGCGAAAGAGGAUCAUUGUACCUGUUUACUUCAUAGCAUAAAUAAACAAGCGAUGGGAAGAACAACCCGUCUUUGAUUUUAGGUGGGUGAAAGGAUCACUGCCAUCCUCAGUAGCAGCCAGAGAAGCAUCGGCAUCGACAUCCUAGUAUAAGAUAUAGCAAUCUAGUUAAAUGGAAGAGAGGUGAUGCAUACAUCAAACAAUAUUUUCAGCAAUGAAUGCAUAAUUUAAAAUAUAUAUAUAUAAGUUCCAGAUUAUUUAGUUCUUAUGAUGCACUUGUCAUUCUGUUACUAAUAUUUUCAGCAAUCCAUGUGAACCAUUGCUCAGUUCUUUGGCAAACCACAACAUUGUAAUGCGGUGUGAUCAAAUUAUAUUUUGGCAUCACUAUUUUUUCUUUCUAAUCCAUGCGAACAUUGCCAUCAGUUGUGUUUGUAAAUGACUGGUAUUCCUCUGAACUAAAUAAAUGUGUCAAUAAGAAAAAAUAAAUAAGCAAUAAUCCAUUUUUGGGGUAAUAUAGGGAGUUGUUGAUAUAGGAAACUACAAACAGAAAAACGGCUUCAUCAGGACAAUAUGUAUUAAACCUUCAAACGGUGAGCAAUUUAUGAGAGCAUAUCUCCCUCUGAUUUAUGAAAUUAUUCUUUCUUAUAAUUAGGGCAUCUGUCCAAUAAUUUCUCUCCAGCCGGUGUACAGUAACUAUGGGGCGAAAUUUCUACAUACUAAAGGUUUUGUAUGCCCUAAACCUGACAUGAUGCUUGCUCCAAUAUGCCAUCUCUACCUGGAUGAUACAAUAAAUAUGUGCUUGUGAGUAUAAUAAAUUGCCUACUCAUCAAGCCAGUGUAAGGUAGGUUGGAUUGUAGGCUGAGAAGUACCAAACCGAGGAAGACCAGAGUUGGGCAAGGCUAAAGAUUGAGGAAUACCAUGAGGAUGUAGCAUAUAAGAAUGCAUCCGAUCCAUCUGCCCAGGAGAAACAAAACCAUUAGUCCUAAUAGUGAUGGAACAAUAGGUACAACAUUAGCAUUAUUUCCCUCAAGAAAUAUAACCAAAGCGCGCUUGGGAAUUAUUCAUAAGGAAUAAAAUAGAACAAUCAACACAACCAAUAUGAUAAUCUAAGCAUAAAAGGACCAUAUAUAUGAGUUGCAUUCCUCUAUGUAACACUACAAACUCAGAAUGCAGCAAACAAUCUGAUGAUCAUAAUAGCAUAUGUGCAAUUUAAGGCUUUC
rnacentral:lncRNA from 1 species